UACAGAGUCUCAGGACAGCAGCACAAAGGGAGCUCUGACCCAGAGCUAACACACUAGACAAAUUAAAGGAGUAAAUCCGAGGAGGACCCAGGGCAGCGAGGGUCUGGGCUAUUUGGAAAAGAUCAUGGACCUACCAUAGAAAUUUAACUUGGGUGGGGGAAGAGCAGAGACAGUGAAGUGUCCAGAAUUGGAACUCAGUCCCUGAUGCCGGGGACAAUAUAUUUCAUUAAAACAAAGAGUUUUCUUGGACUGCGCAAUAAAAGAAAAAUAGUUAACAGAAAAUAACCUCUCCCCUCCCCAGCAACAAAACAACCAGUCACUCCAAACCAAAACCGAAACCGAGUGUUGCGGGAUCACAAGAGAUUCCCACUUGACCUGAGCCAGGCUUAGAGCUCAGGAGAGAACUGAAAGCUGGGAAGUCCAAGAUCAAGAUGGCUUGAUUUAGUGUUUACUGAGAAGAACCAAGAAAGCUCAUCUGGAGGAGGCUCAACUACUGUUCCAUGAAGACACUGAAGCAGUCUGGGAAGAGGUCCAUGUCGAAGAGAACUGAGGUUUCCCCAGUGAGUGGCACAGCUCACCAGGCAUGUGAGGGAAACAUUUUGUAAAUGCAUCCUUUACCUCCAGUUAAACGUCAGACAAGUGUAGCCUUGGGCAAUGUGAUACUCGGGAAGUGGUACUUUAGGUA